rnacentral:rRNA from 1 species
UACAGAGGGUGCUAGCGUUGUUCGGAAUCAUUGGGCGUAAAGGGCGUGUAGGCGGUUUGUUAAGUCAUGUGUGAAAUCCCUCGGCUCAACCGGGGAACGACGCAUGAAACUGGCGGGCUAGAGUCCAGCAGAGGAUAGCGGAAUUCCCGGUGUAGUGGUGAAAUGCGUAGAUAUCGGGGGGAAUACCAGUGGCGAAAGCGGCACCCUGGCGUCGUACUGACGCUCAUGUGCGAAAGCGUGGGGAGCGAACGGG